rnacentral:tRNA from 1 species
CAACAGUAGCUCCGUUUAUAGCGUAAUUGGCUGUUAACCGAGUGGGCGCAGGAACAAGAAUCCUGCCUGUUGCG